rnacentral:rRNA from 1 species
UAGGGAAUCUUCGGCAAUGGGGGCAACCCUGACCGAGCAACGCCGCGUGAGUGAAGAAGGUUUUCGGAUCGUAAAGUCCUGUUGUAAGAGAAGAACGUGUGUGAGAGUGGAAAGUUCAUACAGUGACGGUAACUUACCAGAAAGGGACGGCUAACUACGUGCCAGCAGCCGCGGUAAUACGUAGGUCCCGAGCGUUCUCCGGAUUUAUUGGGCGUAAAGCGAGCGCAGGCGGGUUAAUAAGUCUGAAGUUAAAGGCAGUGGCUUGACCAUUGUUCGCUUUUGAAACUGUUAAGCUUGAGUGCAGAAGGGGAGAGUGGAAUUCCAUGUGUAGCGGUGAAAUGCGUAGAUGUAUGGAGGAGCACCGGUGGCGAAAGCGGCUCUCUGGUCGGUAACUGACGCUGAGGCUCGAAAGCGUGGGGAGCAGACAGG